rnacentral:rRNA from 1 species
UACGGGGGGGGCAAGCGUUGUUCGGAAUUACUGGGCGUAAAGGGCUCGUAGGCGGCCAACUAAGUCGGAUGUGAAAUCCCCAGGCUCAACUUGGGAACUGCAUCCGAUACUGGAUGGCUUGAAUUCGGGAGAGGGAUGCAGAAUUCCAGGUGUAGCGGUGAAAUGCGCAGAUAUCGGGAAGAACACCCGUGGCUAAGGCGGCUCUCUAGUACGGUACUGACGCUGAGACGCGAAAGCGUGGGGAGCGAACAGG